rnacentral:rRNA from 4 species
UGGCGGCCGUAGCGCGGUGGUCCCACCUGACCCCAUGCCGAACUCAGAAGUGAAACGCCGUAGCGCCGAUGGUAGUGUGGGGGUCUCCCCAUGCGAGAGUAGGGAACUGCCAGGCA